CAUGCAGGCGGUUACAUAAGUCAGGUGUGAAAUCCCCGCGCUUAACGUGGGCAUUGCAUUUGAAACUAUGUAGCUAGAGUUCUGUAGAGGGGGGUAGAAUUCCAGGUGUAGCGGUGAAAUGCGUAGAGAUCUGGAGGAAUACCGAUUGCGAAGGCAGCCCCCUGGGCCUGCACUGACGCUCAUGCACGAAAGCGUGGGGAGCAAACAGGAUUAGAUACCCUGGUA
rnacentral:rRNA from 1 species